rnacentral:rRNA from 1 species
GAACGCUAGCGGCAGGCUUAACACAUGCAAGUCGAGGGGUAGAGGAAGCUUGCUUCCUUGAGACCGGCGCACGGGUGCGUAACGCGUAUGCAACCUACCUUUUACAGAGGGAUAGCCCAGAGAAAUUUGGAUUAAUACCUCAUGGUAUAUAUCAUUCGCAUGGUUUUCACAUUAAAGUUCCAACGGUAAAAGAUGAGCAUGCGUCCCAUUAGCUAGAUGGUAAGGUAACGGCUUACCAUGGCGACGAUGGGUAGGGGUCCUGAGAGGGAGAUCCCCCACACUGGUACUGAGACACGGACCAGACUCCUACGGGAGGCAGCAGUGAGGAAUAUUGGACAAUGGGCGCAAGCCUGAUCCAGCCAUGCCGCGUGCAGGAUGACGGUCCUAUGGAUUGUAAACUGCUUUUGUACAGGAAGAAACACUCCCUCGUGAGGGAGCUUGACGGUACUGUAAGAAUAAGGAUCGGCUAACUCCGUG